UCUACCAAAGGAUAAUAGUAUUCCACUGGUCUUAGA
rnacentral:tRNA from 1 species